UAGGGAAUCUUCCGCAAUGGGCGAAAGCCUGACGGAGCAACGCCGCGUGAGUGAUGAAGGUCUUCGGAUCGUAAAACUCUGUUAUUAGGGAAGAACAAAUGUGUAAGUAACUAUGCACGUCUUUACGGUACCUAAUCAGAAAGCCACGGCUAACUACGUGCCAGCAGCCGCGGUAAUACGUAGGUGGCAAGCGUUAUCCGGAAUUAUUGGGCGUAAAGCGCGCGUAGGCGGUUUUUUAAGUCUGAUGUGAAAGCCCACGGCUCAACCGUGGAGGGUCAUUGGAAACUGGAAAACUUGAGUGCAGAAGAGGAAAGUGGAAUUCCAUGUGUAGCGGUGAAAUGCGCAGAGAUAUGGAGGAACACCAGUGGCGAAGGCGACUUUCUGGUCUGUAACUGACGCUGAUGUGCGAAAGCGUGGGGAUCAAACAGG
rnacentral:rRNA from 1 species